ACUCCAUGCGUGUUUGAGAUCCACUCUCUUCAUAUUUUAUUUAGCAACAGUCUGAAUUGGGCAAUUCCACUACACUGAAUUUAUAAGAGAGAGAGAGAGAGAGAGAGAGAGAGAGAGAGAAGCUAAAAGAAAUUUUGCAAAACCCAAAGAAUCACAUUAUCUCACUAAAAACUAUGAACGCAAUUUUCUCUCAUUUAACUACACAACCUGAAACAAAAAUAAAAAAAUAAA